GAUCGCGUAGCUCAGUGGUAGAGCGCUACCUUGACAUGGUAGAAGUCGUUGGUUCAAGUCCAAUCGUGAUCACCA
rnacentral:tRNA from 1 species